UCANUCAGGCCUAACACAUGCAAGUCGAGCGGAAACGAUGGAAGCUUGCUUCCAGGCGCGAGCGGCGGACGGGUGAGUAAGGCAUAUGAAUCUACCCGGUCGUGGGGGAUAACCUGGGGAAANUCAGGNUAAUNCCGCAUACGUCCCAAGGGAGAAAGCGGGGUUUCGGCCUCGCGCGAUCGGAUGAGCCUAUGUCGGAUUAGCUGGUUGGUAGGGUAAUGGCCUACCAAGGCGACGAUCCGUAGCUGGUCUGAGAGGAUGAUCAGCCACAUCGGGACUGAGACACGGCCCGAACUCCUACGGGAGGCAGCAGUGGGGAAUAUUGGACAAUGGGGGCAACCCUGAUCCAGCCAUGCCGCGUGUGUGAAGAAGGCCCUCGGGUUGUAAAGCACUUUCAGCGAGGAAGAACGCCUGGUGGUUAAUACCCNUCAGNAAAGACCA
rnacentral:rRNA from 1 species